GUUAAGAGCAAAAUUUGAUUUUUUGUGUGUGAUUACAGACUUGUGUGUGAGGUUUUGAUUGUGGCGCAGUCAGUUGUUUGCCGAGAAGCCUUGAAAACUGUGUAUUGCCCCCUUAAGAGCAAAAUUUGAUUUUUUGUGUGUGAUUACAGACUUGUGUGUGAGGUUUUUAAG